UACGGAGGGGGCUAGCGUUGUCCGGAAUUAUUGGGCGUAAAGGGCUCGUAGGCGGUUUGUCGCGUCGGGAGUGAAAACACCGGGCUUAACUCGGUGCUUGCUUCCGAUACGGGCAGACUAGAGGUAUGCAGGGGAGAACGGAAUUCCUGGUGUAGCGGUGAAAUGCGCAGAUAUCAGGAGGAACACCGGUGGCGAAGGCGGUUCUCUGGGCAUGUCCUGACGCUGAGGAGCGAAAGUGUGGGGAGCGAACAGG
rnacentral:rRNA from 1 species